rnacentral:lncRNA from 1 species
UGAUUUUUUAAUCAAAGUUGGGGUGAAAAUGAUUUUCACCCAUAUAUCAAUUGAAUGAUGAGUGUAUUAAUAGAAUAAAAACAACUCAGAUCCAUUACUCUUUACAACAAUUUGGAUAGAAAUACAUUAUUCUAUAAAAUAAUUUAAGAGAGAUACAUAAUUAUUAUGUAUUCGAUACAUGGAUCUGGCAAAAAUAUGUGUCUCCAUACAAUUUUUUAUGCAUCUCACUAUCUGUUUGUUCGAAUAUAGUCUAUAAUACCUUUUUGAAGCACCAACUCUUUUUAUCAUAAAACUGAAGCAUCUCUUUACAUAUGGGGAUUAAGAAUUUGGACCAUGAUCAUUUACAGAGCUAUGAAUAUUUAUAUAUAAUUAAUCCUUUUAGUCGUUUUCCACGAUAUUUAAGGUGUCAUAAUUACUAUAUUUCUCCUUGUAUUUUCUUUCACUCUUUGUACUCUUUAUGUUUAGCAAAAAAUUAGACAAGUAUAAUUUUCAAUACUAUCUCAAAAGAAACUGCACUGGAGACUUUCGGUUAACUGUAAGUAUAUGUACACCAAGUUAUUUAGGGACCUUAUCAAAAUACUGGUACAAUUUUCUCAACUUCAAAAAAAAGGUAAACAGGCAAAGAGACAAACAGAGAAAUGCGCUGAAUUGCUUGUUCAGGGACUAACACAAUCCACAAUCAUUGAGACUGAAGCAUCAGAAUAAUUGAGCAACUUAUUGAGUUGAUUGCCCAAGUAAUUAGUUGCCAACCCGCCAUAUCUUUGAAAUAAGGAGAGGGAUUCAUGAUCUUCCUUGACCAAAUCACUACUUUUUGCUUUCCUCGUGGAAAAGGGUUCUGCAGCUACAUCUUCAUCUUGACAUGCCUUGUUUUGCAACUUCGCAACCUCAUUUGUCCACAUAUCUAUCAGCCCAGACAUUCUUCUUUAAUUUCCUUCACCCUUUUUCAACUUCAAACAAGAAAAAGAAGAGCUUAUUAUUUCUUUUGUAGAUGCUUGGAAUUUUGUUGUGCCUUGAAGUAUCACCAAAUCUCUGCUUAUAUAUUAUAAGGGUGUGUAACUGCAAUGCAAAAGCAAGACAGGAUAGGAAGUGUGAUUCUGGUUGGCCGCCCACAUAUUUCCAUUUUGUUGAUGGGAUGUCAAAGACAGAAAGGAGAGUGCAGGUUGGGUCCAAAAACUGUGGAUCCAAAGUGGGGAAUUGGAAAUCAUGUGCCCGCGCGCUUUUAUCCGGUUUCGGCCCAUAGUUUUAUAUACUUCUUUAAUGUUUCAUAUGGAGUGUUAUCUAAAGGAUAAAUUACAUGUAUUUUUAUACUUCUAAAAUAUACUAUCGUAGGUCACCAAUUCAAGUUGAUGGAGAAACAAUUUUAUUUGUAAAUACUCAUCUGUCUUAUUUUAGCUGUUCACUUUUUUUUCUACACGCA